CCCUACGGGAGGCAGCAGUGGGGAAUAUUGCGCAAUGGGCGAGAGCCUGACGCAGCGACGCCGCGUGAGGGAUGAAGGUCUUCGGAUCGUAAACCUCUGUCAGCAGGGAAGAACGGUCACUGUGCUAAUCAGCAGUGAAUUGACGGUACCUGCAAAGGAAGCACCGGCUAACUCCGUGCCAGCAGCCGCGGUAAUACGUAGGGGGCGAGCGUUGUCCGGAAUGACUGGGCGUAAAGGGUGUGUAGGCGGUUUAUUAAGUUAGAAGUGAAAUACCUAGGGCUUAACCCAGGUGCUGCUUCUAAAAC
rnacentral:rRNA from 1 species